rnacentral:rRNA from 1 species
GGAAUUUUGGACAAUGGGGGCAACCCUGAUCCAGCCAUUCCGCGUGAGUGAAGAAGGCCUUCGGGUUGUAAAGCUCUUUCGCGAGGGAAGAAAACUUAUGAUCGAAUAAAUCAUGAGGUUGACGGUACCUUGAUAAGAAGCACCGGCUAACUACGUGCCAGCAGCCGCGGUAAUACGUAGGGUGCGAGCGUUAAUCGGAAUUACUGGGCGUAAAGCGUGCGCAGGCGGUUUUGUAAGUCGGAUGUGAAAUCCCCGGGCUCAACCUGGGAACUGCGUUCGAAACUGCAAGGCUAGAGUGUGUCAGAGGGGGGUAGAAUUCCACGUGUAGCAGUGAAAUGCGUAGAGAUGUGGAGGAAUACCAAUGGCGAAGGCAGCCCCCUGGGAUAACACUGACGCUCAUGCACGAAAGCGUGGGGAGCAAACAGGAUUAGAUACCCUGGUAGUCCACGCCCUAAACGAUGUCAACUAGUUGUUGGUAGAGUAAAAUCUAUGAGUAACGUAGCUAACGCGUGAAGUUGACCGCCUGGGGAGUACGGUCGCAAGAUUAAAACUCAAAUGAAUUGACGG